ensembl:lincRNA
ACGCAAUAACUUGCACAGCAUUGAAUGGAAAAGGCUUUGUCCAUGUCCAGUUGAGGGGCAUCAAGAACACGCAGAUGGCCUAAACCUGUGUCAGCCUGGACAGACUGCAGUUCUGCUAUUCCACGCCAAGGCUUUUGUAUGGAUGUCUGACUACUACUGUGUUCUCUAAAGGUAUAACUGGAGCAAAACAACAGCAUCCGUUACAGUGAAAUUUGUGUUCAUAAAAGAUAGUGAUAUAUGUGUAACAGGUCCAGUACAUUUGUCAUAAAGGUUAAAUCACAAUAAGUAUUGUAAAAAUAACUUGUUUGCCUUUGCCACAACAGGUCAUGGUAUGUGCAUACUGCUCGUAGUAAACACACACGCUGAUCUCAUGCGGGAGAGAUAUACGCAAACACAUUUGUAUUUACUG